rnacentral:rRNA from 1 species
CAUUUUGAGGGUUUGAUCCUAGCUCAGGGUUAACGCUGGCGGUGUGCCUAACACAUGCAAGUCGAGCGACGAACUCGGGAAAUUUUGCGCAAGCGGAAUUUUCUGGGGGAAAGCGGCGGAUGGGUGAGUAACACCUGGGUAACCUACCUUCGGGAUCAGGAUAACUCGUCGAAAGGCGGGCUAAUACUGGAUAAUUACGGAGAAAUUCAUUUUUCCGUGGAAAGUUGUGUCCAAAAGACAUAACACCUGAAGAUGGGCCUGGGUCCUAUCAGCUUGUUGGCGGGGUAAAAGCCCACCAAGGCUAUGACAGGUAGCUGGUCUGAGAGGACGGCCAGCCACACGGGGAUUGAGAUACAGCCCCGACUCCUACGGGAGGCAGCAGUGAGGAAUUUUGGACAAUGCCCGCAAGGGUGAUCCAGCGACACCGCGUGGGUGAUGAAGGGCUUCGGCCUGUAAAACCCUGUCAAGUGGGAAGAAUGCUACCUUUUCAGGUAGUUUGACGGUACCACUGAAGGAAGCCCCGGCUAAUCCCGUGCCAGCAGCCGCGGUAAGACGGGAGGGGCAAGCGUUACCCGGAUUUACUGGGUGUAAAGGGUCUGUAGGCGGUCAAGUAUGUCGUAUCUGAAAUCCUCUGGCUCAACCAGAGAACAGGGUACGAAACUGCUUGAUUUUGAGUCUGGACGAGGGGAGCGGAACUGCCGGUGUAGCGGUGAAAUGCGUAGAUAUCGGCAGGAACACCAGUGGCGAAGGCGGCUCUCUAUUCCGGUACUGACGCUGAAAGACGAAAGCGUGGGGAGCAAACGGGAUUAGAUACCCCGGUAGUCCACGCCGUAAACGAUGGAUGCUGGGUGUCGGUCCGUUUAUCGGGUCGGUGCCGAAGCAAACGCGUUAAGCAUCCCACCUGGGAACUACGACCGCAAGGUUGAAACCCAAAGGAAUUGACGGGGGCCCGCACAACCGGUGGAGCAUGUGGUUUAAUUCGAUGGUACGCGAAGAACCUUACCUGGGCUUGACAUGCCGGUAGUACAGACCCGAAAGGGAAAGGAUCCUGACUUUGUCAGGAAGCCGGCACAGGUGGUGCAUGGCUGUCGUCAGCUCGUGCCGUGAGGUGUUGGGUUAAGUCCCGGAACGAGCGCAACCCUUGCCUGCAGUUACUCGCUUUAAAAGCAGCACUCUGCAGGGACUGCCGUGGUUAACACGGAGGAAGGUGGGGAUGACGUCAAGUCAUCACGCCCCUUAUGUCCAGGGCUACACACGUGCUACAAUGGCCGAUACAAAGGGAUGCGAAGCUGCGAGGCGGAGCAAAUCUCAAAAAGUCGGCCCCAGUUCAGAUUGCAGGCUGCAAUCCGCCUGCAUGAAGCUGGAAUCGGUAGUAAUCGCGGAUCAGCCAUGCCGCGGUGAAUACGUUCUCGGGCCUUGUACACACCGCCCGUCACGCCAGCUGAGUCGGGGGCGCUUGAAGAUGUCUUAAAGGCAUCCAGGGCGAAUCCGGCAAGGAGGGCGAAGUCGUAACAAGGCAGCCGUACCGGAAGGUGCGGCUGGAUCACCUCCUUU